UGUCAUUGGUUGCUUUUCUGGGUUAAGUAAACCCAAAAACAUCAACGACUUCAUGCGUGAUUUUUGUACAGAGGCCAAAUCACUUAAAUAAAACGGAAUUAAAGUGGGUUCCAUGGCAGUUUUAAAACCAUUUAAUAUUCGUGUUUUUAUUUGCGAUUGUCCAGCCAGGGCUUAUGUAACAGGAGUAAUAGGUCACAAUGGAAAAAACGGAUGUCCUAAGUGUAGCGCAGAAGGACUUUAUAAGGAGAGAAGAGUUUGCUUUCCGAAAAAGGUUGGUCUACCCAGGUCAGAUAAGUCCUUCGCAAUGAGAGCCAGUACUUUUCAUCACCUUACUCAGUUUAAGGAAACAAAAAGUGUUUUAGAGGAAGCGGGAUUCGGCAUGGUUUCCCAAUUUCCACUCGAUUCCAUGCAUUUGGUGGAUUUAGGCGCAGUUAAGAAAUUGCUGAAACUGUUUAUUACGGGUAAAAAAUGCAAUAUUAAAAGAAUCAAUGAUAAACUUACUUUUGUCGCACAAUUUGUUCCGUCUGAAUUUGGUCGUCUUCCCAGGAGCUUAGAUGAAGUUUCUAAUUGGAAGCCAACUGAAUUUAGACAGUUUUUGCUCUACACUGGAAUAUUUGUUUUAAAGGAUUGUAUAAGUGAAGAUUCUUAUUAUCAUUUCCUGUUAUUACACAGUGCUAUUAGACUUCUUUCUAGUGAAAAGUCCUGUAGAAGAGAGACCGGUAUUGCCCGAAAAAUGUUGCAAGAUUUCGUUACUUUUUUUGGAACUUUAUAUGGCGAUGAGAAAGUAAGUUUUAAUAUUCAUGGGUUACUCCACUUGCCUGACUCUGUUGAUGAAUUAGGUCCAUUAGACUCGUUUUCCGCGUACAAAUAUGAAAAUUUCAUGCAGCUUUUAAAAAAAAUUAUUAAAAAUCCUCAUAAUAUACUCCAGCAAUUGUUUCUGAGGAUUCAAGAACGGCAAGGAUCAGAAAUGUAUUUCAAAACUUUGAAUGACUUUGGUUCAUUCACUUUGGAUGAUAAAAAAGAGAAAUACAGCUAUUUUUUUGUGAGAAGAAAGGCCCAAUCAAAGUUAUAAAAGUCACAAAAUCAGGAGAAUCAGACAGAGUUCUGUGUAGAUAUUUUCAGAAAAUCGAGAGCUUCUUUUUGGAACCUAUUACUUCGUCUUCAGGUCUGUGAAUAGUGGUUACAAGUGUUUUAGCCUCGGAAACGGUGGAAAUAUUAAGGAAUGAAAUUACUUAUAAGUACUUUUGUAUUCCUUUUAAUGAAAAGUUUUUGCUCAUAACCUUAUUACACCAUUUGUUUCACGACUUUUCCAAUUUUGCUACACAUUCAAAUUAAAUUAAAUUUUUGCUACCAUUUAAUAUGAAUAUAAUAUAAUAUAUGAACCAUAAUAAUAAUAUGUAUGAUAUGAUCCAUGAUAAUAAUAUGAACCAUGCACAUGGAUUCAAGCAAUAUUCUUGAUGAGUCGUUUUGUGAGGAGUCUCCAGUCGAAAGUAAGUGGAAUGUAUGAAAAAUGUUUCAUCACAUAAUUCCAUCGUUCUUUAUUUUAGUGGGCCAAUCCCUUAUAAAGAAGAGGUGCUACGACACCAAUGUUGAAGCGGCAGGUGUAAGCCAAGUUUGCUCUCCGAGUGAUGGUAAGUGCCUAUUGAAAAAACUAUGUAAAUAACACUUACGAUUUUAGUAUUAAUUCUUGAAAAUCAUUAAAGAUAUUAACGCGAAGCUGGACACCAAUGUUUAAGAAGAGGAAGCGGCAGGUGUAAGCCAAGUUUGCUCUCCGAGUGAUGGUAAGUGCCUAUUUUAAAAAACUAUGUAACUAACACUUACGAUUUUAAUAUUAAUUCUUGAAAAUCAUUAAAGAUAUAAACGCGAAGCUGGACAUCAUUCUUAAUAACCAAAAAGCCAUAUGGGAUACUUUGCAGACAAGCAUCAAUAACCAAGCAAAGUUGUCAACAAAUCAGGCGGAGCUGGAGAAGAAAUUCAUAUCACUCCAAAUGAAUGUAAGUGUUGUUUUGUGAAAAAUAAGAAUUUAUGAACAUAUGAGUACUCGAUUUUGCAGGCAGUCGAAAACGCGGAAUUUCUCGCUCUAGCGAAAUCAGCACGC
rnacentral:misc_RNA from 1 species